GAGGGAUCAUUACCGAGUUUACAACUCCCAAACCCCUGUGAACAUACCAAUUGUUGCCUCGGCGGAUCAGCCCGCUCCCGGUAAAACGGGACGGCCCGCCAGAGGACCCCUAAACUCUGUUUCUAUAUGUAACUUCUGAGUAAAACCAUAAAUAAAUCAAAACUUUCAACAACGGAUCUCUUGGUUCUGGCAUCGAUGAAGAACGCAGCAAAAUGCGAUAAGUAAUGUGAAUUGCAGAAUUCAGUGAAUCAUCGAAUCUUUGAACGCACAUUGCGCCCGCCAGUAUUCUGGCGGGCAUGCCUGUUCGAGCGUCAUUUCAACCCUCAAGCCCAGCUUGGUGUUGGGACUCGCGAGUCAAAUCGCGUUCCCCAAAUUGAUUGGCGGUCACGUCGAGCUUCCAUAGCGUAGUAGUAAAACCCUCGUUACUGGUAAUCGUCGCGGCCACGCCGUUAAACCCCAACUUCUGAAUGUUGACCUCGGAUCAGGUAGGAAUACCCGCUGAACUUAAGCAUAUCGAUAAG
rnacentral:rRNA from 1 species